rnacentral:tRNA from 1 species
GGCCACGAGGUGUUACACGUGGGAUUGCAAAUCCCAAGAAGCAGAUAGAUUCUGCCGGGGCUU